GGGUUCCGUAACGGCUGUCGUGGUUCUGCCCGACGUAGUCGUUGGAAUGCCGUCUCGGGGAGAGUAUUACUAAUGUUAAAAUGGGUUAUCAUACUAAGGCGUGUGCAUUGUUUAUUCAACUAGAUUAUAACAAGGAAGCCACAAAGGAAAUACCUAAAAUAGCAAUGUAACAAAAUGGGAAAGCCAAUCAGAACAAAGCCAGCUCGAGAGCACUGACGGCUUGGAAAAAUGUGGCUAUAAAAGUUACCUAA
rnacentral:lncRNA from 1 species